GAACAGGUUGCUGUAGCCGCUCUCUUCCUCCUAAAGCUGAUCACGGUCUCUCUGGUCUUAUUCACAUUCAGACGCUGAUGCUUCUCCCAGAGCACUCCACAAAAUCAUCCACUAGCGCUCUGUACUCCUCCUCCUCCUCCUCCUCGUGCACAUUACUUAUACAUCCAACCCCUGCAGAAUGGUCAGACUAUUUCUGUAGGUGGCAUGACCUGGAGUUGUACUGAAACUCGGAGGUUCGCAAGGUGCACAGGAACAAGUAUUUGAAACAAACCUCGGUGGGAAAUUCCUGCAUACUUCACUCUGUCAGAGUCUGCAAGAAACAACAAUGUGGUGGAGAAAGUUGCUCGGCUACCUGACGGAGCGAGUCAGGAACAAUCUGCACAUCGCUGUCCAUGUGAACCCAGCGGCGGAGCCUGUCAGGAAAACGAGCCUCUGAAGUAAGAAGACUCAACGAACAUCAAGCCCCUCGCCCCCAGCACAGCGAUAUAGCCCAUCAUCAUCCUCCAGCGUGAAGAGUCCACCUGGGCGGAGGCCAAGAGCCAGCUGGGAAAGGAGCAGCAGCACACACAGGAUGAAGGGAUAGAGAAGGAGACAACUGACACGAGAUAUGUAGGAAGACAGAGCCAAAGAAAACAGGUGAUGCACUGGGCCCUGACGAUGAGUGGAGUCAACCCACUGAUGAAGAGAAACCACUGGAAUUGCUCAGUUUUGGCAUCUAAAAGGUGGAGGGACGCAAGAGGGGACGGGUGGAGCCCAAGGUCCAGGUGAGCUUGAGGCCGAGGCGUGGGGAGGCAGGCAGGUGGUCGGCCAGGGAGGAGCAACCAGUCUCCACCCAGAGGAGGAGGGCUGCUGCUGGAUAACUGCAGAGACCCACCCAGACCAUGACACCGUUUGAGAUGGCUUGAGCUUUGUGACAUGGAGGCAGCUACCAGACGUUCAGUACACUGCUGUCACAAAGGGAUGGACAUGGGCUCCACAGACCGGACCACAUUUUUCCAAUCUGCUACUGUCCAGUUUUGGUGAGCCCAUGGAACUGUAGCCUUUCAAAGAAAUUAAAAAAAAAUGUGGCAUACAUAAAGUGCUUUACAAUGUCUGCUGUUGUGAACUGGAAUCAGAGGUGAAAGCUGAAUCAGAGGUAUUUUUUUUUCUGUCUCAAUUAAAUCCAUCCAUCCAUUUUUCUUAACCAUGCAAUUAACUUAUCCAAUUCAGGUUCAAUUCAACUGAUAUAAAAGUGUGUUUUCCUGUUCAGUGUGAACAAGAAAUAUUUUGGGAGCCUUGAAAGUGCUACAGUGUAUGACGUCUUCUCUUUUAAACUCCUGUCUAUAGUUACAUUUAUCAAACAUGGGCCAUUUUUCAAUGUUGGUUAUUGA